rnacentral:rRNA from 1 species
CGGGGGGGAGCAAGCGUUGUUCGGAUUUACUGGGCGUAAAGGGCGCGUAGGCGGCCUCUGCAAGUCGACUGUGAAAUCUCCGGGCUUAACCCGGAACGGUCAGCCGAUACUGCAGGGCUAGAGUGCAGAAGGGGCAACUGGAAUUCUCGGUGUAGCGGUGAUAUGCGUAGAUAUCGAGAGGAACACCUGCGGCGAAGGCGGGUUGCUGGGCUGACACUGACGCUGAGGCGCGAAAGCUAGGGGAGCGAACGGGAUUAGAUACCCCGGUAGUCCUAGCCUUAAACGAUGAAUGCUUGGUGUCUGGGGUUUUAUAGUCCCCGGGUGCCGUCGCUAACGCUUUAAGCAUUCCGCCUGGGGUGUACGGUCGCAAGACUG